CAAUAGCGUAUAUUAAAGUUGUUGCGGUUAAAAAGCUCGUAGUUGGAUUUCGAAUGGGAGCGGUGGGUCGGGUCCGCAAGGGCUCGUUACCUGUUUCGUCUCCGGUUCUUUUUCGGGAUUGUUUUCUGGCGUGGCUGGCAUUGAGUUGUCGGUGGCGUCGGGCCCGUCGUUUACUGUGAACAAAUUAGAGUGUUCAAAGCAAGGUGUGUCUUGAAUACAUUAGCAUGGAAUAAUGAGACAGGACUUUGGUGGUUUCGGUGAAAGCCGGAUAUUUUGUUGGUUUGCACGCCAAAGUAAUGAUUAAUAGGAGCAGUUGGGGGUAUUCGUAUUCAAUUGUCAGAGGUGAAAUUCUUGGAUUUCUAGAAGACGAACUACUGCGAAAGCAUUUACCAGGGAUGUUUUCAUUAA
rnacentral:rRNA from 1 species